rnacentral:lncRNA from 1 species
GAGAAUUCUAACAGUUGGCUUUAUUGGCAACAAAGGGAGGCAGUAGCGUAUGAAGUGCGACGAGCAAGGAAUAUAGAUAAAAAUGAGGGGUAGAAGGUGGUCAAUAGGCAGCAGGCACCAAGGAUGAAUACUUUCGAUUGUCUACAUGCAACCCUGCGUUAUAAGAACCCCCCGGGCAAAGGCCUGUUAGGGACAUCUUUGGAAACAGGUGGGUCUGACGUCCUCGUCAUCCAGAUGUAGCUUUCCACUGUGGGCUGACUGAGGAAGCUGCCCUCUUACUGAAGAUGAGCUUGAAAAAGAUCAAGGAAAUGAAAAAAAAAAACCAAAAAAAAAAAACUUGCAAUUACACUCUUCCACCACUAGAUGCUAUACACGUAUAAGCAAGAUAAAAGUCCUCCGCCAUUUCUUUUCCCCAUCAGUGACCUCAGUGAUGAAUCUGAAGAAACUCUUCUGACUUCAAAGCUCAAUUCUGUGCCAUGGAAAUCAGAUAUACUAUAUUAUAUCUCAACUUAAGUGCAAAGGAGCAAACUCUGGCAAAACUUUAUGUAAAGGAAGAACUUUCUCCUCUUCUCUCCCCAUAUCAUCAUAGCAGCUACAUCCUACAAACACACAGCUGCUGUUAUCAGAAAUCAACUUGUGAAAGUGACCUCUACCCAUAGAUGAGGUUGUGAUGUUUUCAUCCAAAUGAUUUUAUGGCCUGUGAAGCAGUC